ensembl:sense_intronic Gm43066 predicted gene 43066
AUUGGGGAAUCAAUGAGAGACCCCCCACUUUCUCACAGUGAGAGAGAGAAUAGCCCAUUUCACUCUCUCCUCCCAGGGGACUCCAGCCACCUCAGAGAGGGAUGGUUUUGGUAGUAAUGAAGCAUACUUGGAAGAAGAGAGUUUCUAGGGGCCCUUGUGUCCUGGGAAAUGGGUAUCCUAUCAGUAGCCAAGAAUGUGGUUUUAAGCCUCACACUGCAUCCACAGAGCCUUGUGUCUCACAGGUGAUUUCAAAGGAGGAUAAAGCUUACCCUCCCCCAUCAUGGCCAUGGGAUGCUGAUAAGGGAGGCCAAAGUCGGCCAAGCCGUACUCAGGGUUUAUGAGGUCUGGGAAGGAUUUUGGUAUGGGGGUAGACUCAGUGCCAGCAGGUCCCAAGAACUUUUGUGAGCAUGGUUCUGACCCUGCCAUGCAGGGCUUGAAGCUGUCCUUGCUUGUGUGGCCUCCAACAAAUAUUAUCCGCUAUUCCCUCAGUAACCAGAUGUGGAAAACAACCACUGCCACAGGCCUGAAAUUAGAGACUAGAGACCCUCAGUGAAGGAGAGGGGCUUCGCAGGUUAUGGUCACGGUUCACUGCUCCUGAAUCUAACAACAAUAACACCUAAUAUGUUUAUAAAGAACUUUUCAAAUACAUGGCCUCACUUCACCUUCUCAAUACAGGAAGAAAUCCAUUUUGUAGAUGAGAAGAGCUGGGGCAACUCCCUGGAGCCACAUAGCUUUAAAGUGAUGGAGCAGAGAAGCAGGAUUGAGAUCAGUUUCUCAUUUGUUUAUUUAUUCAUUCAUAAAGCCUUACUCGCUCACGCACAUAAAGGCUGGCCUGGGUCUUACUACAUCACUGGACUGGCCUGGUCUCACUACAUCACUGGGCUGGCCUGGGUCUCACUAUAUCACUCAGGUUGGCAUGAAACUUGCAACAAUCCUCCUGCCUCAGCCCCAUAAAAGCAGUACUGGUAGAUACGAGGCACCAUACCUGUCUGAAUAAUUUAGGUGCUAUAAAACCCUAAUAUAUUUUUUAUCUUCCUUUGCCUUAAGGUAAAUGGUUACAUACUUAUUUUAGAUAUUUUGGAAAGAAAGAAGAAAAGAGAGGGAAAGAAGCGAGGAGAAAGGAGAAGGUAGAUAAUAUUUUUCACAAAAUCCUCCGUUGUUAAAAGGCCAUGUGAAUGCAGUAGAGUCAGGGAGGUGCUCUAGAAUGCUCUUGAAAGAGGUUCAAAUCUGUGAUGUUGAUGCACCAGCUGGAUGAGGCCUAGAAGUUUCUAGAAUUAAGUAAUUCUC